GGUCCAGACUCCUACGGGAGGCAGCAGUGGGGAAUAUUGCACAAUGGGCGCAAGCCUGAUGCAGCCAUGCCGCGUGUGUGAAGAAGGCCUUCGGGUUGUAAAGCACUUUCAGCGGGGAGGAAGGCGUCAAGGUUAAUAACCUUGGCGAUUGACGUUACCCGCAGAAGAAGCACCGGCUAACUCCGUGCCAGCAGCCGCGGUAAUACGGAGGGUGCAAGCGUUAAUCGGAAUUACUGGGCGUAAAGCGCACGCAGG
rnacentral:rRNA from 1 species